ACUUUUAAAGGAUAAUAGUCAUCCAUUGGUUUUAGGCACCAAGCCUCUUGGUGCAACUCCAAGUAAAAGUA
rnacentral:tRNA from 1 species